rnacentral:misc_RNA from 1 species
GCCGAUGAAAGUAAAUUCAUAAGGGAUGGGUAGGACCACGAAUUAUUGUUCUUCAAUGACUCGUGUGCUACCUCAAGGUUCCUAGCUGGAGACUGAAUAGAGUUGACAGUGUCUGCAGGUGCACACAAAUCUUUAGAAGGUGAGCUUGAACCAGUGCUCAUCAUGGGCUCAUUUUCAGCAUCACAAACUGCAAUAUGAUCUUUCUGCUCAGAAUUG